AGAGUAGCAAUAUUCUUGAAAGUGGCGCACGGGUGAGUAAUACGUAGGUGACCUGCCUUGAAGUGGGGGAUAACAGUUGGAAACGACUGCUAAUACCGCAUAUUGCCGGGCUGUCGGGAGACGGACUGGUGAAAACUCUGGUGCUUCAAGAGGGGCCUACGGCCGAUUAGCUAGUUGGCGGGGUAAGAGCCCACCAAGGCGACGAUCGGUAGCUGGUCUGAGAGGACGAUCAGCCACACGGGAACUGAGACACGGCCCAGACUCCUACGGGAGGCAGCAGUGGGGAAUAUUGGACAAUGGGCGAAAGCCUGAUGCAGCGACGCCGCGUGAGGGAUGACGGCCUUCGGGUUGUAAACCUCUUUCAGUAGGGAAGAAGCGAAAGUGACGGUACCUGCAGAAGAAGCGCCGGCUAACUACGUGCCAGCAGCCGCGGUAAUACGUAGGGCGCAAGCGUUAUCCGGAAUUAUUGGGCGUAAAGAGCUCGUAGGCGGUUUGUCGCGUCUGCCGUGAAAGUCCGGGGCUCAACUCCGGAUCUGCGGUGGGUACGGGCAGACUAGAGUGAUGUAGGGGAGACUGGAAUUCCUGGUGUAGCGGUGAAAUGCGCAGAUAUCAGGAGGAACACCGAUGGCGAAGGCAGGUCUCUGGGCAUUAACUGACGCUGAGGAGCGAAAGCAUGGGGAGCGAACAGGAUUAGAUACCCUGGUAGUCCAUGCCGUAAACGUUGGGCACUAGG
rnacentral:rRNA from 1 species